AAUGACAAAGAUAAAAACGCAAAGCAUUUUAUUAUGCGAGAGCUGGUAGGUAGCCCAGCCGUCCUAUGUUUAUAGGGUAAGUAACCUGCCCCUCCGGGUUGUCCGUUCUUUGUUUGGAAAUA
rfam:Ruminococcus obeum ATCC 29174 R_obeum-MSIQ_Cont266, whole genome shotgun sequence.